AUCCAGAUGACGAGCCCCAAAUUGGACGAAAUGUCCAUUCUGGAU
rnacentral:hammerhead_ribozyme from 1 species